AUUCGUUGCUUCCGAACAUCGUAUAAAAUUGAAAAGAUGCAGAGAAGAUUAACACGGCUCCUUCGCAUAAAUGACACGCACAAAUAGAAAAAUGUCCAAUUUUUUU